rnacentral:rRNA from 1 species
CGGACGGGUGAGUAAUGCUUGGGAAUCUAGCUUAUGGAGGGGGAUAACUACGGGAAACUGUAGCUAAUACCGCGUAAUAUCGAAAGAUUAAAGUGUGGGACCUUCGGGCCACAUGCCAUAGGAUGAGCCCAAGUGGGAUUAGGUAGUUGGCGAGGUAAAGGCUCACCAAGCCGACGAUCUCUAGCUGGUCUGAGAGGAUGACCAGCCACACUGGGACUGAGACACGGCCCAG